AAUACACACGUUGUAGCAGGAGAAUUAAUCUAAAUGCUUUUAUAAAAGCUCAAGCUUCACAAUUCUGCAUUUAAACACUCAAAAAAUUGGCCCCAUUCACUUCCAUUGUAAGUGCCUCAAUGUAACCCAUAAUUUUUGCUUUUUUUAAAAAAAGGAGGGAUGAGUCGAAAUUAUUUUUGUGGUAAUCAACAUUAUGCCACAAAUGCUGUUGAUUGAGCUUGUAUUAAACCCAGAAUAUUCUUUUAAUAACUGUAGUGCCUAUGGUAUUUUGAUGUAAGGGUUUUGUGUUGUCUCGUCAAAUUGAGUGACACUUGAGGGGUUUAUGACACAUUAAGCAGCAGUGAAACCUAGCAGGACUUUCAGAGAGUUUCAGAUUGUUUGUGCUACUGGUGGUUUUUUGGAUUCAGCUAGAGAAACGUCACUGGAGCAGAUGGCAAGCCAGCGCAGGUCAUUUAAAUGGAAGGAUUGCGAGGAUACAGUAGACACGCCAAAUAUGGUGAAGAAACGCAUCGGAUGUCAAACCUGGUAAACUUGCGAGUUCAUGACAGUUAUGUUCUCAAGGUAGCUGAUGAACCUCUUCAGGUUGAUCCUUAUGUUGUCCAGAAAACAAAGCUGAUCAGGGCUGUAUUUUCCUCUCCCUUCUUUUCGCAGCUGUGAAAGAAAAAGAAAAAAAGCCAAACUGUGAAAAGCCUGCCAUCUAAAGGCCUAGGAACAUACUAGAACAGGGGUCGGCAACCUAUGGCACGCAGAGGAGAAAUCACUGGCACGCCUGCAAAGGCGAGAGAGGAGCAGACUAUUUUAUUGAUGUGAAAUUCCGCACCUGCAUUCCAAUCUACAUCUUGAUGUAAUUCUUCCUCAUGAUCACGCAGCGUUUUCAUGAGCUGAAUGGGAGGCUAAACAAAAAGUUAAAAUGUGAUGAGACCAGGGCUCGAGUUGAGGGGGAAUGCCAUCCCCCUUGUUGCAAGAAAUACCAAAAAGCAUCCCCCUUGUUAAACCACCAUCACCCCUUACCCUCCCCUUUAGAUCAAUUGUGUCAUGUAUUACUUAGAACUAAUCAUGCAAGUAAAAUAUUUUAUUUAGGUUUCUUUAGGUGAAAUCCCACAGUUAGAUCUGGACACUUGUACAGUUUGGAUAUAUGCUGUCAGGGUGACGCUUUAGUCACGCAAUCUGGCAACCUUGAACAUGCGAGCUCUCUCUCCACUGCGAAAAAAGACGGCAGUUUUCUGAAAACACUGUAAAACAAGCAUGUCGGUGUUUGCGAUGGGUUGAUUUAUCCUUCCUACUGUUCACAUGAAACUUACGCCACAAGUUUUCAAAUGUUUCACGCAACUUCAAACAUGGUCAAGUAGUACAUUGGAGUAGAAAAAAUGCGUGUCUGCAGUGGGCGAGCAAUCUAGAAAUAAACCUUUUUCAAAACAUG